AAGAUAGCACUAGCAACGAAAUCCCACGGCUAGACUCGAGAUCCCCUCGAGAGAUUGAGAUAGGAGAGAAGGGGCCGUCGGUUGUUUGAAGUGAGGAGUUAGGGUUCAAAUUGGUAUCCAACGGGUAUAUGUACUCCCAGGCAGUCUAUCAGAAGUUCCAACGGGGUGUCGGAAGUUUUGACGGUAAUUAAAUUCAACUCUUGAGAACCCUCUGUUGGAGGAAAUCUAAAAGUUCCGAUGCUCAUCGGAAGUUCCGACGAUAGUUAAAUUCCUCUUGGGAAUCCUCUACCGAAAGUUUGUUGAAACUUCCAGUGGUCAUUGGAAGUUCCGACCUUGUGUUGGAAGUUCUGGUAGAUGAAUUUCCAUUCUCUUGGGAACCUUCUAUCGGCACUUUGCUGAUACUUCUAUUGGCUGUCGGAAGUUUUGGUGGUGUGCCGGAAGUUUCUGUAGGUACUUGAUAGCUCCAAAAAGAAUGAUUUCGAGAUAGAUAAAGAUUGAGAUUUUGAGAUUUAUGGCUUAUGGACAUAUAAGAUAAAUUGACACAUAGUGAUUAGCCAACAAGUAACAUCACAUAACAAUGAUCACUUGAGUCAAGUUUUGAUCCAAAGAUCAAAAUUCAUGUUUUGAAAGAAACUCAACACAAAGAAAUUCAUUUUUCCUAUCUAGUCAACAAUCAAG
rnacentral:lncRNA from 1 species